rnacentral:rRNA from 1 species
GACGAAGGAUGCAAGCGUUAUCCGGAUUCAUUGGGGUUAAAGGGAGCGUAGGCGGACUUGUAAGUCAGUGGUGAAAUCUUUGGGCUUAACCCAGAAACUGCCAUUGAUACUGCAGGUCUAGAGUACAGUUGCCGUUGGCGGAAUAUGACAUGUAGUGGUGAAAUACUUAGAUAUGUCAUAGAACACCGAUUGCGAAGGCAGCUAACGAAACUGUAACUGACGCUGAGGCUCGAAAGUGCGGGGAUCAAACAGG